UACAGAGGUCUCAAGCGUUGUUCGGAUUCAUUGGGCGUAAAGGGUGCGUAGGCGGCGCGGUAAGUCGGGUGUGAAAUCUCGGAGCUUAACUCCGAAACUGCAUUCGAUACUGCCGUGCUUGAGGACUGGAGGGGGGACUGGAAUACUUGGUGUAGCAGUGAAAUGCGUAGAUAUCAAGUGGAACACCAGUGGCGAAGGCGAGUCCCUGGACAAUACCUGACACUGAGGCACGAAAGCUAGGGGAGCAAACAGG
rnacentral:rRNA from 1 species